GGCGGGACACGUGGUAUCCUGUCUGAAUAUGGGGGGACCAUCCUCCAAGGCUAAAUACUCCUGACUGACCGAUAGUGAACCAGUACCGUGAGGGAAAGGCGAAAAGAACCCCGGCGAGGGGAGUGAAAAAGAACCUGAAACCGUGUACGUACAAGCAGUGGGAGCCUCUUUAUGGGGUGACUGCGUACCUUUUGUAUAAUGGGUCAGCGACUUAUAUUCUGUAGCAAGGUUAACCGUAUAGGGGAGCCGAAGGGAAACCGAGUCUUAACUGGGCGUUAAGUUGCAGGGUAUAGACCCGAAACCCGGUGAUCUAGCCAUGGGCAGGUUGAAGGUUGGGUAACACUAACUGGAGGACCGAACCGACUAAUGUUGAAAAAUUAGCGGAUGACCUGUGGCUGGGGGUGAAAGGCCAAUCAAACCGGGAGAUAGCUGGUUCUCCCCGAAAGCUAUUUAGGUAGCGCCUCGUGAACUCAUCUUCGGGGGUAGAGCACUGUUUCGGCUAGGGGGCCAUCCCGGCUUACCAACCCGAUGCAAACUACGAAUACCGAAGAAUGUUAUCACGGGAGACACACGGCGGGUGCUAACGUCCGUCGUGAAGAGGGAAACAACCCAGACCGCCAGCUAAGGUCCCAAAGUCAUGGUUAAGUGGGAAACGAUGUGGGAAGGCACAGACAGCCAGGAUGUUGGCUUAGAAGCAGCCAUCAUUUAAAGAAAGCGUAAUAGCUCACUGGUCGAGUCGGCCUGCGCGGAAGAUGUAACGGGGCUAAACCAUGCACCGAAGCUGCGGCAGCGACACUAUGUGUUGUUGGGUAGGGGAGCGUUCUGUAAGCCGUUGAAGGUGUGCUGUG
rnacentral:rRNA from 1 species